UACGAGAGGGGCAAAUGUUGUUCGGAAUCACUGGGCGUAAAGGGAGCGUAGGCGGGUUUCUAAGUCAGGUGUUUAAUCCCGGGGCCCAACCCCGGACAGGCACUUGAAACUGGGAAUCUUGAAUAGUGGAGAGGUCAGUGGAAUUGGGGGUGUAGCGGUGGAAUGCGUAGAGAUCCCCAAGAACACCAGUUGCGAAGGCGGCUGACUGGACACAUAUUGACGCUGAGGCUCGAAAGCAUGGGGAGCAAACAGG
rnacentral:rRNA from 1 species